GACGAACGCUGGCGGCGUGCCUAAUACAUGCAAGUAGAACGCUGAAGGAGGAGCUUGCUUCUCUGGAUGAGUUGCGAACGGGUGAGUAACGCGUAGGUAACCUGCCUGGUAGCGGGGGAUAACUAUUGGAAACGAUAGCUAAUACCGCAUAAUAGCAGUUAUUGCAUGAUAACUGUUUGAAAGGUGCAAAUGCAUCACUACCAGAUGGACCUGCGUUGUAUUAGCUAGUUGGUGGGGUAACGGCUCACCAAGGCGACGAUACAUAGCCGACCUGAGAGGGUGAUCGGCCACACUGGGACUGAGACACGGCCCAGACUCCUACGGGAGGCAGCAGUAGGGAAUCUUCGGCAAUGGACGGAAGUCUGACCGAGCAACGCCGCGUGAGUGAAGAAGGUUUUCGGAUCGUAAAGCUCUGUUGUAAGAGAAGAACGAGUGUGAGAGU
rnacentral:rRNA from 1 species